AAUCGAUUUUCACUACGCCAUGCCGUUAGAAGUGAAGCUACGUAUCGCCAUGAACGAGAACGCAAGGGGGGGGGGGGAAUAGAAUGCAUAAGAAUCCAUAAGAAAACCAAAAGAUGAAGUAUGUGAUGUCUUUCCUCCAGAAUAUCAAGCAAGAGAUCAUCAUCCGCGGUUAUUCAGUUUAUCGAUAGUGAAGAAAGCCGCAAACAACUUAACCAAGAAACAAAACACGCAUGAGAGAGAAGGCACAGACUUUGUCAUAAAACAAUUU